rnacentral:rRNA from 1 species
UACGUAGGGGGCAAGCGUUGUCCGGAAUCAUUGGGCGUAAAGAGCGUGUAGGCGGCCAGAUAAGUCCGCUGUGAAAUCUCGAGGCUCAACUUCGAGCUGUCGGUGGAAACUGUCUGGCUAGAGUCCGGAAGAGGGGAGUGGAAUUCCUGGUGUAGCGGUGAAAUGCGCAGAUAUCAGGAAGAACACCUAUGGCGAAGGCAGCUCUCUGGGACGGUACUGACGCUGAGACGCGAAAGCGUGGGGAGCGAACAGG